GACAAGGUUUGAAAGUAAAGUGAUUGAUGUCAUACUUUCAAGAAAAGCUUCUAGGGCUAAUUGAUUAACUACCCGUACCGCAAACCGACACAGGUGGGUAGGUAGAGUAUACUAAGACGCGCGAGCAAACUCUUGUUAAGGAACUCGGCAAAAUUACUCCGUAACUUAGGGAUAAGGAGAGCUUUUAUUAAAACUAAAAGCCGCAGAGAAUAGGCCCAAGCGACUGUUUAUCAAAAACAUAGGUCUCUGCUAAACCGCAAGGUGAUGUAUAGGGGCUGAUGCCUGCCCGGUGCUGGAAGAUUAAAAGGAGAUGUCAGGCAACGAAGCAUUGAAUUGAAGUCCCAGUAAACGGCGGCCGUAACUAUAACGGUCCUAAGGUAGCGAAAUUCCUUGUC
rnacentral:rRNA from 1 species